GGCAGAGAGAGAGAGAGAGAGAGAGAGAUCAAAGAGGAAAGGAGAGGGACAGAGCAGCCACCAGGUGCCACAGUCAGCACUGGAUGUGCCACAUGAGUCAGAUCUCAAGUGAUAUUCACAACAACCCUGAGGCGAGAGUGGACUCUCGAGUUACAUGACGGAACCCAAGGGUAGAGGGCAAGAAACUGGCCCAAGGUCACACCGUCACACCGCUGGUACAGCCAAGCAUUAAGGCGAAAACGCUGAGCGAAAGGAGCCAAGAGCAGAGAAAGUUCUGUGUACUUUGGGAGUAAACAAAAAUGAAAAGUGCA